AAAAAAAAUCAUGAUUGUCUUAUGAGAGACCAUUUCUUCCAAGCAGUUGAUUAUAACUGUUGUAAUAAUUGCUUUUCUUGCUUUUUCUAAUUAACCUAGGGGGCGUAAUCCAUCCAACGCCUUAUGGAGGUAAUUCAACUAAGGUGGAGAAUGAGACCCAAUUAGGGCGUGUGUAAUUACCAAUAAAGGAAGUUCAGGUCUGUACUUGUUUGGCAAUGCUAUUGAGGCUGAGGCUAUAUCCAUAGCUUAAGAUGUUUUUGUCUAAUGGAAAGCAGCGUGGGGAAGGUACUCGCUUUUGAUAAUCUCAUUAAGAGAGGAUAGAUGCUAGUAGGUUGGUGGUGUAUUUGCUGCUGUAGUGGGGAGAUGGUGGAGCAUUUUUUAUUACAUGUUAGUGUUCUGUUCAAGAUGUGGAGCUUCAUUUUUUGAUCUUUUGGGUUUCAUUGGGUGCUCUCGGCAAAGGUAAUUGAUCUUUUGUUUAGUUGGUUAAAUUGAGUAGGCAAGCAUUCUUCAGAUAUUUGGAACAUUGUUCCAGUUCCAUUAUGUUUGAUGUGGGCCUUGUUGCAUGAAUGAAAUCCUUGUACAUUUGAGGAUAUGGAAAAUUCAGGGAUACAAUUGAUUGCAUUUUUUAAUAGUUGUUUGAUUGCUGUAACCCAUUGAUAAUUUGCAUACCAAUGCCACAGUGCCUUUGCAAUGAAUGAAUUAGAGUAGAUGCAAGGCAAUGCGCCAGUGUUUUGAUUAGUACUUAGCUUCAGUUUGUUUCUUCCAACUUUCUGUCAUUAUUUCUCCAAUAGUUUUAUUAUUAAAAUAAUAUUUAGCUCA